UACGUAGGGACCAAGCGUUGUUCGGAUUUACUGGGCGUAAAGGGCGCGUAGGCGGCGUGGUAAGUCAAUUGUGAAAUCUCCGAGCUUAACUCGGAACGGUCAAUUGAUACUGCUGUGCUAGAGUACAGAAGGGGCAAUCGGAAUUCUUGGUGUAGCGGUGAAAUGCGUAGAUAUCAAGAGGAACACCUGAGGUGAAGACGGGUUGCUGGGCUGAUACUGACGCUGAUGCGCGAAAGCUAGGGUAGCAAACGGG
rnacentral:rRNA from 1 species